rnacentral:lncRNA from 1 species
UUCUACUUCAAUAGUAUCAGCAGUUUCAGAAGUAUCAUCACAUCUAGCAGCAACCCUAGCAAUUUGUGCAUCAAGGAAUGCACCUAGUGGCAAAGCAGUAUCAAGCAUAUAGCAUCAUCAGACAUAGUAUCAAGCAUAGCAUCAUCAUAAGAAUCAUGGGCAGCAGAAGUAGCAUCAUCAAGCACAGGUGACAUAUCAAGAUUUCUAGCAGUAGGUGAUGUCGCAA